rnacentral:misc_RNA from 1 species
AUAAAGAUCUCGCGAGAAACGUGCAAUUCAACGAAUUAACCAACUUGAGUUCUUCAACGUUAGCAGAAAUUCGAUUUGGAUCGCUAGCAGCUAAACGAUCAGCAUCGGCAGACUGCCCGGCAGAUUAUACGAUUACGAGUUAUGUCAGCGAAAAUGGAGUUAUUGGCGCACCAAGCACGGAGCAUAUGCCAUGGAAGAACUUGCCCUGACGUACAUUAAUUUGAUAUUGGAUAACCGUUUCCGUCGUCGGCGCGAACCGACGCGCAACGCGAUUCCGAAGGCGCUA